AUUGAACGCUGGCGGCAUGCCUUACACAUGCAAGUCGAACGGCAGCACGGGAGCAAUCCUGGUGGCGAGUGGCGAACGGGUGAGUAAUAUAUCGGAACGUGCCCAGUCGUGGGGAUAACGUAGCGAAAGCUACGCUAAUACCGCAUACGAUCUAUGGAUGAAAGCGGGGGAUCGCAAGACCUCGCGCGAUUGGAGCGGCCGAUAUCAGAUUAGGUAGUUGGUGAGGUAAAGGCUCACCAAGCCGACGAUCUGUAGCUGGUCUGAGAGGACGACCAGCCACACUGGGACUGAGACACGGCCCAGACUCCUACGGGAGGCAGCAGUGGGGAAUUUUUGGACAAUGGGCGCAAGCCUGAUCCAGCAAUGCCGCGUGCAGGAUGAAGGCCUUCGGUUGG
rnacentral:rRNA from 1 species